AACAUGAAAUACUCCAUCACAUCCUGCAAUGGCUAAAAAAAGGGAGCUGUAGUCCAGCAAAUCUGCCUUGAAGAGCUGCAGGUUCUCCAAGGCAUUAUCCAGUUUCUUCAAAUGAGCGUU